UAUUACUUUUAUUUAGCAAGGAUGCUUUAUAUUGAUAAAGAGUGAUGAUAAAGACAUUUAAAAAAAUCUGCUCAGCUGUUUUCAACAUAAAAAUAAAAAUAAAAGUUUUCUGAGCCACAAAUCAGAAUAUCAGAAUGAUUUCUGAAGGAUCAUGUGACUGGAGUAAUGAUGAUAAAAAUUCAGCUUUGAAAUCACAGAAAUAAAUUGCAUUUUAAAAUAGAAAAGUCAUUAUAAAAAUAUUUAAAAAUUGUACUGUUUUUGCUGUUCUUUGGAACAAAUAAAUGCAGCUUUAGUGGGCAGAAGAGACUUCUUUUAAAAAAACAUUCAAAAUCUGACUGUUCAGAAACUACAUAUAAUUACAUAUAAUUUUUUUUUUCCAUUAAAGAUGACUAUCAACCAGGCUCUGUAAAGCAGACCAAUAACUGACCCAGUGUGCUCUUUGCCCUCAGGAUGUGCCAGAGUUUUGACCUCUGUCUGGUUUAUAUUACUCUCUGGGGCAGUUUACUCUACAGGGAGUUUGGUUGACAGGCGAUCUGACCAAUCAAAACGCUGAAUCUGGCAUUUUUGUCUGACAAACAAACCAGACAUGGGAGUAGAUUAACGUCGAUGGACUUGAACUUAAAACAUGGUUACGCUCCUGUUGUAGCAGACUGGUACCAGAGAUUCGAGGAGACCGCUGGCCUGAUGCCAGGGCACACUGGGAGUCCGUGCAGGGGAGACGCUCCGACGCCACCCUGCUGAGAUCCGGUACUGACUCAGUAAAACUGAAAGAUUGCUGACAUCAUCAUCUGUCAGCUCAGCAUUGAUUCAUUCUGGAGCAGGAAUGGGGUGGAAUGGGCCACACAGGGAAUGACAGACGCUUAACCCUUACCUCUCCAGGUGACCUCACAUUUGUG